UACCAGCACCCCGAGUGGUCGGGACGAUUAUUGGGCCUAAAGCAUCCGUAGCCGGUUCUACAAGUCUUCCGUUAAAUCCACCUGCUCAACAGAUGGGCUGCGGAGGAUACUAUAGAGCUAGGAGGCGGGAGAGGCAAGCGGUACUUAGUGGGUAGGGGUAAAAUCCGUUGAUCCAUUGAAGACCACCAGUGGCGAAGGCGGCUUGCCAGAACGCACUCGACGGUGAGGGAUGAAAGCUGGAGGAGCAAACCGG
rnacentral:rRNA from 1 species